UGUGGGACGCCACCACUGCUUGGCUUGAUGAGCCAUAUUAGGUCUGUGCCCAGGAUCCAAACUGGUGAACCAGGGCCACAGAAGUGGAGUGCCUGAACUUAACCACCUGGCCAGGGGGCCAGUCCCAGUACGAUAGUUCUUAACCCUGGUAGGGCAUCAACAUCACCCAAGAAGUUUUUAAGAAUAUGUAUUUCGGGCCUCACCCCUGGCCUCCUGAAUCGGAAUCCCCAGGGGUGGGCCAAUGGCAUGUAGACAUUUAGAAAGCUCUGCAGGUAUGUCUGAUAUAGAGUUGAGAAUCACUGAUAGAAGAGGUUGAGGGGAGGCCCAGCGGAGAAGCGCCCAGUAUACUAACCUAUGAGGGUUGCUAAAAUAUGAGUAGACAUAAACAGAAGUAUGGUGCCAGUUUAAGUCCAGUUGCCAGUCAAGUGAUUCUAAAGAACUUGUUGCCACACAUGUGGAAGAAGACAGCAUCCUCCGGCGGAUGUGAGACCACGCUUCACCAGCGUGGCCCACCCUCACUCAAGAAUUGUUGAAUAAAUAUUUCAAGUAGAUUAGUUAGAAGCAUACUAAGCUACUCCCCUGUCUGGGACACGAGGCAAUUUUCCUGCCCAGUGUAAGUCUUCCUCUUGCCCCAAGAGCGGGACAGAUUAUGGACUUUCAUAUCUUUCUUUUGAGCACUGGCUUCUUUUGUAAAAUGGAGAUAACAGUCUCAUUAUUUAUAAAUUUACUUAUAUUUGCACUUGUUCUUUUUGUCUUCCUUCUGUUGUUUGAAUGAGAGAUGUCCCUCCCGUGGACUUUAAGGCCAAUCCUCCACCUGUGCGCAGGAUCUCUUCUGACUUUGGGAUUCUCCCUUAUUUUCCUCUUUUUUUUCCUUACAUCCUCAACUUUUCCUUUUUUCUGGGUCCUUUCCAUUAGUGUUUAAAUAUGCUGCAUAUCCAGCCUCAAGAACAGUGCCUGGCAUUAUGUGGACCAUCAGUAAAGAUUUGUUGAGUGAAUGAAUGAAAGAAAGAAAGAAUGAAUGAAUGAAUGAAUGAGUGCUCAAGGCUCUUUUAUUCCCCCAAAUGCUUCUCUCAACUCUAUAUCCCUCUCUAGCUCUUUCCUGCCUUCAAACAUUCACUCCUUAUCCUUUCUCAUCUCCGGUUCUUUCUCAACUGAUAGAAUCUGGCUUCCAUCACUACCAUUCCACCAAACUCUUACCAAGGCCACCCAGGACAUCCUUAUUUCUACAUCCAACCGAUAUUCUCAGUCUGUUAUCAUACUUGAUGUCUCAGCAGCAUUUGGCACUGUGAUCGUGUCCUCAUCUUUGAAACACCUCCUCAUGGCACUGUCCUGUUUUCUUUCUUCCUUUCAGGAGACUUUUUAUUCUCCUUAGUGAACUCUUUCUUUCUCCUCUAUCCAUCAUCUAGAUAUUGUUGUACCUUGGUGUUUAACCUUAGGCCCUUUCUCAUGUAGCUCAACACAUUUUCCUUGGGGAAUUAAUUUCGUUCCCUGGUGUCAAUUACUUUCUGUGUGCUCGUAAUCUCCAAAUGCAUAUUUCAAUUCCCAAACUGUCUUGAAACGCAGACCCAUAUCUUCAACCAUCAACUAUACAUUAUCUUCCAAAGACUUCAAAAUUCAACCUCUCCAAAAUGGAAUUUAUCAUCUCCCUCGAAUCUACUUCUGUUCUCGUGUUUUCUGUCUCAGUGGAAGGUAUCUCUGUUUAUCCUGUCUGGCCUGAGCCAGGAACCCGGCCACUGUACUCACUCCUCUUUCUCUUGGUCUCUCAGCUGUCUGCUCCCUGCCUCCAUAUGUUCCUGUCAAACAUUGUCUUAUUAUUUCUGCAUGCUGUACAUCUUGAAUGUGUUUAUAUUCUUGAAUAUAUCUUGAAUACAUUUAUACUUUUUAAUAUAUCUCGACUAUGUUUGUUUUUCUUUUUCCCCAAUAUAACUAACGGCCCUAGUUCAAAUUCUCAUCAACUCUUGCCUGAAUUUACCAUAACAUCCUCUCAAACAUUCUCUGGCUUCCCCACACAAUAACCAAAAGAAUCAUUCUUAAACACGAAUCCAGUGAAAUCACUCCGUUGUUUAAAACAGUUCGGUGAUCCUCCAGUACUCUUAGGAUAAUGUCUUUAACUGGCUUAGUAGGACUUGCAUGAUCUGACUUGUUCACCCUAUUAGUCUCACUUGGAAGGUUUUUCUAAAGAUUAACGUGGAUAUAUGUCAAUGUAGGAUAGCACUAAAUAAAUAAGGCUUUUCCAUCUCUUAAUCGGACCCCUACUUUACACGCAAGGAAAAUGAGACUCGCUGAGGCUGAGUGGCAUGCACUAAUGCACAUGGCUAGUUAAUGAUAGAGCUGGAAUAUUCAAGCACGUCUAGUUCAGACCAAAGGCAGGUAGAAUUCAGGACAACACUGGCUAAAAUUUAUCUUGUCCUUCUGUGGAUCUCUCAGCUCAGAGGGAAGGAAGGAUAUGCUUACAAAGAGAGAUACAUACUUUUUUGCUUUCCCUAGCUGCGUCCCAAAGUAGUAACUUGUUUACUUGUUCUGACAGAAUGGUUAAUAUCUGCUUCAUUGGCUUACUGUGUGAUAAUUCUUUCCCUUCUUCAAAAUAAUGUAAUCACGGCCAAACCACAGGGAACAAACAAGAUCAUUAGGAGCUUUGUGAGUCAAUGAACUUUAAGCCCUUCCUGCUGCUCCCAGACAAACCCCUAGCCAAGAACCUGAGUGAGCCUACAUGCUGAAGAGCUUCCAGAAGUUUCAAAAGGAGCAGUGGAGCACAACUGGUUUCCUUGAAUAAAUGGCCUCUGUUCAAAUUUGCUUUUUGAUCACUCCUUAAAAUCACGUGCCGUAUAAAAGGGCAUUCAUAAAUAUGUCCCGUCCCAGCCUAGUGUUCCCCUAUUGAUAGUGGUGGAGUGGAGGGGGUGGGGAGCCGUACUUGGGUACAUUUCGUCUUUUUAACAUGGGAAUUGGAAGAGACAGUUUUAGCCAAUUUUAGGGAUACAUUUGAAUUUAUAAGUACUGUGUUUAUCGCGUAGAUGUUAGAAAGGAAAUUGGCAUUAUUUGUAUGAGUUUGGGUCUUAAUAGCUUGUUAAUUUCCUAUUAAUGUUAACAAGGUAUAAACAGUCUGUGGUAGGCAGCCUCCAAGAUGACCCAACCAACCCACAUCCUGUAGUCUCCUCCCACACUGCAGCAGGGUUGGUCUGCGUGACAACAGAAUAUGGCAGAAGUAACAGUAUGUCGCUUCCAAGAUGAGGUUAUAAAAGACACUGCAGCUGCAGUCUUGGGUUUUCUCUCUCUCUCUAAUUCUCUCUUUCUCUGAUCACUUGGGAGGAAACCAGAUGCCAUGUGGUAAACAGUCCUACAGAGAGGAGCACAUAGUGAGGAACUGACGCCUUCUGACAACAGCCAUGUGAGCGAGCUUAGAGCAGCUCCGAAGCCAGAUGAGAAGACGAAGGCAAAGAGUGGAUACGAUAAAAACACUAGGGAGUGCCAGGAUUCGAGUCCAGGCAGCCAGCCCCAGAAUCCCCGGGAUAACCAUGAUACUACAACACAGCGUGAAGAUGAGAGGAGGCUGUGGGAACUCAGAAAAUGGAUUUAUUGCAGCAUGUGCACUGGGGAAAUUUGCAGCAGCGGAAACUGGGCACUUUGCCUAGGAACUGCAAACAAGUCACGGUGCAGCUGGGAACCGGCUGACAUCUCUAGAAUCAGGAUUACUUGUUCCAAACCGCCUUUCCAGGCACAGGAUGAAGUGAUGUGACGUGAUUUCGCCUCAGACAAUGGGCUGUUUUUCCUUCGCCAAGGCCUAGGGUGUGAGCAGUAGUCUCCUCAGAGGAAGGAUCAAACUGUGGGCUGUGUUCGAUUUUGCGUCUCCUCGGCCUCUCGGCACACCUGGGCCUGGGAAGCGUGGGAGACACAGGCACAACUUCUCAACAGCUCCUGAGGGCCUCGGGCUGGUGGAACUGUUGCUGGGUGUGCAGGCCAAGCAUUGCUGAAGAUUUUGCCUGGGUUGGCUAAAGGAAAUUUUCUCGAGUUCUCAAGGAUCCAAAAUGUUAACUUCUUAUCCUAACAAGCAUUCUCCGCUUAUCUGAUAUAGGUUUAUGAGACUGAUUUCAGGUAAUUACAUCAGUGAGAAUAUAGAGAAGGUUUUGGUUAGAGGGCUAUGAAAAAAAGAUUUAACCAACAAAAAUAUUUUUUCUAACACUGAAGUUGAUAUUUUUUGUUUUUACAAAAUGAUCAAAAUAAAAUUUCUUAUAGAAAUCUGUGCUAACAUAAAAAAUAACUUGGUUAAAUAAAACUGGAUUCAUCUCAUCUAAAUAUGUACCCACAGAGUUCCUUUGUAGGUGGGAAUGCUUGAGACUUUUGACCCUCAGUUUCACAGGAUGUUUUCUCUAGACUUAUUAAUUUAUAACACGAUUAAAAAGACCCACUAUUAUUUCUUAUAACUAGA